rnacentral:rRNA from 1 species
GGAGGAAUAUUGGACAAUGGGGGAAACCCCGAUCCAGCAACGCCGCGUGAGGGAAGAAGGCCUUCGGGUCGUAAACCUCUUUUAAGGGAGACGAGAAAGGACGGUAUCCCUGGAAUAAGUCACGGCUAACUACGUGCCAGCAGCCGCGGUAAUACGUAGGUGACGAGCGUUAUCCGGAUUUACUGGGCGUAAAGCGCUUGUAGGUGGCUUUGUAAGUUGGAUGUGAAAACUCUGGGCUUAACCCAGAGAGGCCGUCCAAUACUGCAGGGCUGGAGGAUGUCAGAGGAAGGUGGAAUUCCUGGUGUAGUAGUGAAAUGCGUAGAUAUCAGGAGGAACACCCGUGGCGAAGGCGGCCUUCUGGGGCAUUCCUGACACUGAGAAGCGAAAGCUAGGGGAGCAAAC